rnacentral:lncRNA from 1 species
UAUAUACAAAAUAUUAUGCCAUUUCUUCCUAGUGUUUUAUAUGUUUAAUUAUAUAAAGUUUUCCACUCUUUGUUAAAUCUUAUCCUUUUUAAUCAUGACUGAGUCAUUUACACACCAAACAUGAAUCAAAAACUUACAAAAAUAUUGAAUUAAAUCUCUAUUUUGUAGUAAUGACGUCAUUGAUAUCCAAAUGACGUAUAUUCAUAUAUAUACCAAGGAUAUUGAUGAAUUAAGAGCGUCCUUGAUAUGUAUCAUAUUCAUGGGACUAUACUGGGUUGUAAUAAUAUUAUUAAUAACUAUAUAAAGGGGAUCAAGGAGGGAGGUGAGAGAAGAGAAGAGUUGGAACUGUGUGGAAAGACAUUUGAUUCAAAAUAAUUUGGAUGAAUCUCUCCUAAGGAGCAAUAGGAUAUGUGGGUCCGCAUCUAACCAUUUUUUGUUCCCAAGAAUAUCCAAUUCACACGCCUUCUGAUACUCUCUUCAAUGUCAUGGUCAGUUCAAGAGAUCUCAACUCUUAAGGUAAUAGGCCCUUGAAUAACUGAUUCACUUGGUGGAUUUCAUUUUCUUUAAUGGAAGAAUCGUUCAUUGAGCAGGUGCCUCUUCAUAUCAAGACCUUCUACGGAAUUAUCGUAUACUUAUACAUUUAAGAACUAAGGAGUUCCAUACAACGACAGAAUAAUUGACUGAAACCCCCAGUGAGGAACAGAGAAAGCUCUUCUUCUCCUUUUUCAGCUACUCUGAACUUCUUGAAGAUAAACUCUGCUUCGUCUCCUACUAUAUAAAAACUAUUUUAUUAAAAUCAUCAUCCAGGGUCUAUGGUUUAUACAACGCAAAAAUCACUCAUCUCAAUCAUAUUUAAAUCAAUUCCAAUUAUAUCUUUGACUUUGUGAUAUACGGUCUAUACGGAUAAUUAUAAAAAUCUGGACAUUUCAAGCUCAUGCCUGAUUUAUCUAGUAAUACUGUGUCUCUUUUUUUAUUGAAAGACAAGUGGACUCGUUAAGAUAAUGUGUUUCUCUUUUCUCGAUAUUUUGGUCUGCAAAGCAUAUUCUAUUAUGCUUAUUACAUAUAAAUAGUUAUUUGCAAUAUUACUCUAACAAAGGACUAGGAUCUCCAAAGAAAUAAAUCAAUUACAGUUAUCUAGAACUUUCAAGUGAUUAUCGGUUUUACAUAAUAUAUAACAUACCCCAUUACUUCUGGUGGAAUAUCUGAAUGCCAUUACAAUUCCUAAACUUAUUGAGUUGGGAAUCUUCUUGUGCUAAACAGCCAAAUUGCUUUUCACCAUAUUGGAAUAUUAAUCUCGCAAAGAUCUAGGAUCUCCACACAAAUUAAUAAAUUAUUAAAUGUUUGCCAUACUAGCUAAUUAUUAGUUUUUUUACUGAAAACAAUAGUUAACAUGUAACAAAAUAAUAAUAUAAUUGUUUUAGUAUUUAUUGGAAAAAUAAUAAACAUACCUAUAUGAUAUUCUUAAAA